rnacentral:rRNA from 1 species
CCUACGGGGGACAGCAGUAGGGAAUCUUCCACAAUGGGCGCAAGCCUGAUGGAGCAACACCGCGUGAGUGAAGAAGGGUUUCGGCUCGUAAAGCUCUGUUGUUGGAGAAGAACGUGCGUGAGAGUAACUGUUCACGCAGUGACGGUAUCCAACCAGAAAGUCACGGCUAACUACGUGCCAGCAGCCGCGGUAAUACGUAGGUGGCAAGCGUUAUCCGGAUUUAUUGGGCGUAAAGCGAGCGCAGGCGGUUGCUUAGGUCUGAUGUGAAAGCCUUCGGCUUAACCGAAGAAGUGCAUCGGAAACCGGGCAACUUGAGUGCAGAAGAGGACAGUGGAACUCCAUGUGUAGCGGUGGAACGCGUAGAUAUAUGGAAGAACACCAGUGGCGAAGGCGGCUGUCUGGUCUGCAACUGACGCUGAGGCUCGAAAGCAUGGGUAGCGAACAGGAUUAGAUACCCUAGUAGUC